rnacentral:misc_RNA from 1 species
CAGUAGCCCCCACCCAAAGGAGCGGUCUUUCCUCACUUCGAGUUAUGCUUACCCCUUCGUGCGGCUCCGUUUUACUGCCACCGUGUACGUGGAUUUGGCCCGUUGUCGUUCGCGAGUCCUUUGGUGCACGCUGUGGGCGUUAGCCGAUAAUCUAAAAAGGGCUCGGAAGAACGUCGUCGCGCACCCUUUUCCGCCCGGUGUUUGUUUCGCAUAACCUCUAUUCUUAUCAUUUCAGCAACAUGUCGACCAUGAGUUCGCCGCGCAGUGAGAUGUCUGUGUCAACGGCGUUGCCGGAGACGGACGAGUCGCGGCUCAUGUUCUACGCGGAGGUACUCAUGGCCAACGUACCAUCGCUUAUUGCGGACCUGAGCUCUGCCAAGUACGCCUUCCUGAGCUUCUCGGAGAAAACGCGAAUUGAGGUGAAGCAGAAGUCCGCUCUGAUACAGUCCAUUGGCCGCACCUUCACCUCGCUUCAGAAUUCGAGCAAGUCCCUGAUAGCAGCCCGACAAAGCCUCCAAGAGUGCGAGACGAAGCUGGUGCGGGCGGCGCCGCCGACGUUCGUGACAAGUGCCGAGGCGCUUCACCUGUCCAGCGCCAGGGCCCACGGUGGCACCACCGGUGCUGAGCAAAACGGCAACGCGUCUGCCGAAGCAACAGCGGCUGAGUUGCGGAGACUCUCCGCCGCGACCCCCGACAACGUGGUGAUCCUGAACGAGGAGGACAUUCGACCAGUUCGGGAAGCCGAGGAGGCGUACGAAAAGGAGUCGGCAGUGUACGCAGAGAUUGCGAAGGCGUGCAACAAGAUGGAGGACGCGUUCGACCAUGCCCACGAUCAGUGUCGCGUGAUGACGGAGCACGUGCAGGACCUUAAGUGGAAGUUCGACGAGGUCUACAACGGCUGGAAAAGUGCUGAGCGGGAGCGGUGGGUGGUGCGCGUCAUGCGGGAUGAGCUCGAGGACAGGCGAGCGAUCAUGACGGAGGCCUUGCUCGGCAUCAAAGCUGUCGAGGAGGAGUGCCGUGCGCAGGAGUUUAGGAUCAUCGAGGGCUCCAUCGCCCACGCGCAAGCAGAGGCAGAUGUGAUCAAGGCGGAGUUGCAGGCGAAGCGCAGUCGUUACGAACUCGAGUUGGCCACCUACCAAAUUGCAUACAAGGAGCAGCAGGCCGAGGUGGAGUCAUUGCGCGAGCACUGCAAGCUGCUGCGUAGCCACCAGCGCGACCUAGAGAUCCUCGCCAAGAAGCAGCAGCUUGAGGAGAUGGACCGGAACUGUUUGCGCAAGCUGAUGAUGGCGACACUGACGCUAACGCCGUCCAAGUACGGCAAAGCCGAGGACCGCACUCUGACGUCGGAGCAGCAGAUGGAGGUCAGAAACGAUCAUUUGCUGGUAUCGGUUCUGGCGGCCCGCAUCUCCGUUUUGGAAGAGCAGCGCAAGACGAUUGGUGGGCUCCUGGCUAGCGCGCGUGGAAUGGGGAAGAGCAACGAUGUCAGCGCCACGGUCGAGCAAAUCCGCACGCUGCUCGAGCCCGAGGUUCAGCUCGACGAGGAUGCCCUGACGGGCGACUAAGGUGCAGGAUCGUCGCCUUUUUCCUUUCUUCCGUCGCCGCGCUCAUCACUGCCGUCGUCGCUGUGCAUCGAUGCGCCCUACUGCACGUGCGUUUCUCGCUUUCCUGCCGACGGUUUUGUUUACUGCCCUUUCACUUUGUGUCGAUGCGUGCUGUGAGGCCUCGCCGCAUGUACGUGUGCUUGCUGGACUGUGCGUCCGGUCAUGUGUGCAUGCUGGUGCUCUUCCCUCGCCUGCUUUUCUAUUUUUCUGCCCUAUUAUUGCCCUACCGUGUGCUGCCAGUCUCUCGUGCGUGUCGCUCUCGCUUUUCUGGAUCGCUGCGUGUAUGCGCAUGCGACUUGACCGUCAGCCGAUACCGGCCAGCGCUGCCAUCACCUCCACGUUGAUGAAACUCGUCCGGAAAGCGUGUUCUCUGAUAGAAGCGCUCUGGCUGUGUGUGGGGUGGAGGGUGAGUCGAAGGGGAGAAAGGAGAGCCAUCGAAGCCUCAGCAGCGCCAGAGUGCACCCCUUUUCCGCAUUUGUGUGAAAAGCUCCUUGCUGUUGGGCGCGCAGGUAGUCUGUGCGCAUCGAUGGUGACAGAGUGAGGGUAGGAGGGAUCGAUUUGGCUUUCCAGCGCUCCCCGUUUGCUAUCGCGUGUCGCUCAUGACCCCGCGCCUUCCUCCUUGCUGACCUGAGGCGCUGUUGCAGCGUGCAGGUACACCACCGGUGAGAGGAUCUCGCGCGUCACCGUCGCAGGCGCACCUACCCGAUUCGAGGGUCGCCUUGUAUGACUAAGGUAUCCUUCUUAUGCCACUCUGCCCCCACAUCUCCCUCUAUCUCUUUCUCUGCUCCCCUCACGCGCAUCCGCACGCGGCACUGCGCUGCUGUCUAACGCGCUGGGCUCCCUGUGCAUACUUAUGCCCCCGCUACAG